rnacentral:rRNA from 1 species
GGGGGAGUAUGGUCACAAGGCUGAAACUUAAAGGAAUUGACGGAAGGGCACACCAGGAGUGGAGCCUGCGGCUUAAUUUGACUCAACACGGGAAAACUUACCAAGACCGAACAGUAGAAGGAAUGACAGAUUAAGAGUUCUUUCAUGAUUUAUUGGGUAGUGGUGCAUGGCCGUUCUUAGUUGGUGGAGUGAUUUGUCAGGUUAAUUCCGGUAACGAACGAGACUGAAACCUAUUAAUUAGUUUCCUGCCUAUACGACAGGAAUCUCCGCAAGGUCAGGUGCCUCGGUACCACUUCUUAAAGGGACACAUUUCAAUUGUCUCAUUUUAAUCGAUGUCUCUGGCUCCGGUCAGAACUCUUUUAACGUGAGAAAAAGAAAAAGGAAGCAUUCAGCAAUAACAGGUCUGUGAUGCCCUUAGACAUCUUGGGCCGCACGCGCGCUACAAUGGAGUUACUAGAGAGUAUUUUAUCAUCCAAGCCUU